rnacentral:RNase_P_RNA from 21 species
UGAAGUGGGCUCAUGAUCGCCCCGACUUUCGCAGUCGGAGAGGAAAGUCCGAACUCCGCAGGGCAAGAUGGUUCGUAACACGAACACUGGGUGACCGGUGGAAAGUGCCACAGAAAAUAGACCGCCUGGUUCGCCAGGUAAGGGUGAAACGGCGAGGUAAGAGCUCACCGCUUUCACGGUGACGUGGAAGGCAGGGCAAACCCCAUCUGGAGCAAGACCAAAUAGAGAGAUGUUUGAGGGCGGCUCCGUCCGAGAUCUCCGGGUAGGUUGCAAGAGGCGUCGGGCAACCGACGUCCCAGUGAAAUGAUCAUGGCUCCCUUCGGGGAGAGACAGAAUUCGGCUUAUAGCCCACUUCGCACA